GACGAACGCUGGCGGCGUGCUUAACACAUGCAAGUCGAACGAAGAGCGGCGGAAGCUUGCUUCUAUCAAUCUUAGUGGCGAACGGGUGAGUAACGCGUAAUCAACCUGCCCUUCAGAGGGGGACAACAGUUGGAAACGACUGCUAAUACCGCAUACGAUCUAAUCUCGGCAUCGAGGAUGGAUGAAAGGUGGCCUCUACAUGUAAGCUAUCACUGAAGGAGGGGAUUGCGUCUGAUUAGCUAGUUGGAGGGGUAACGGCCCACCAAGGCGAUGAUCAGUAGCCGGUCUGAGAGGAUGAACGGCCACAUUGGGACUGAGACACGGCCCAGACUCCUACGGGAGGCAGCAGUGGGGAAUCUUCCGCAAUGGACGAAAGUCUGACGGAGCAACGCCGCGUGAGUGAUGACGGCCUUCGGGUUGUAAAGCUCUGUUAAUCGGGACGAAAGGCCUUCUUGCGAAUAGUGAGAAGGAUUGACGGUACCGGAAUAGAAAGCCACGGCUAACUACGUG
rnacentral:rRNA from 1 species